CGACAAUAUAGAAAAGAAGCAGGACAAGGAAAGGCUAUUCUUAUGUGGCGGCUGGGUUUCGCAGCGUCCAGAGGAACUCCUCAACCUGGUAGUUUGUGUCGGCGGAGAAGACCCUGAGGCACAUGGGCGGGUUGACGUUGAUCAGGGAGAGGAUGGACGACGGCAGCGACCAGAUCCCGUCGCCGCAGAUGAGCCCCGACGCGACGGCCGGCGCGAACAUGUGCGCCCUCACCCGGUCCGACUUGCUCCACAGGUACAGCACGAUGCUUCCGACGCACAUGUCGAUGGUGAAGAACGAGCCGAGGAAGAAGGGCACCGCCAUUCCCAGCGCGCUCGGGAUGUAGUCCUGCACCCACCAC
rnacentral:misc_RNA from 1 species